GAUGAACGCUGGCGGCGUGCCUAAUACAUGCAAGUCGAGCGAACAGACGAGGAGUUUGCUCCUCUGACGUUAGCGGCGGACGGGUGAGUAACACGUGGAUAACCUACCUAUAAGACUGGGAUAACUUCGGGAAACCGGAGCUAAUACCGGAUAAUAUAUUGAACCGCAUGGUUCAAUAGUGAAAGACGGUUUUGCUGUCACUUAUAGAUGGAUCCGCGCCGCAUUAGCUAGUUGGUAAGGUAACGGCUUACCAAGGCAACGAUGCGUAGCCGACCUGAGAGGGUGGUCGGCCACACUGGAACUGAGACCCGCUCCAGACUCCUACGGGAGGCAGCAGUAGGGCAUCUUCCGCAAUGGGCGAAAACCUGACGGAGCAACGCCGCGUGAUUGAUGAAGGUCUUCGGAUCGUAAAACUCUGUUAUUAGGGAAGAACAAAUGUGUAAGUAACUAUGCACGUCUUGACGGUACCUAAUCAGAAAGCCACGGCUAACUACGUG
rnacentral:rRNA from 1 species